AAUGUUUGGGGGGUCUGUCUCUGUCUCCCUUCAGACACAGACGCCUGGCUUUGCUGAAGCAAGUGAGUAUCAGAGAGAACUGCUGCACACUUUGCUGUGAUGAGGUAGCAGACACAGAACUCAGGCCGUGUGGACACAGUGACCUGUGCAUGGAGUGUGCCUUGCAACUGGAGACCUGCCCUUUGUGUCGACAGGAAAUACAGACCCGAGUCAGACAGAUCUCUCACAUUUCAUGACACACGUGGAGAAACACCACAGACUUGUUUUUAAUGAACUCCAACCAAUACUGAAAGGGGAAAGCAUCUCUAACCAGUCUUUAUGCACAUAGAACCAUAGCCACGGCCAGAUUUCA